AUGAGGUGACGAAGAAAUUCAUUGGUCUGUCAAUCCACUGACAUAUUACUAUGUGAUGUUAAUAAUGAAUCCCGACAGGUUCUGAUCGU